AAGCAGCAAAUGGAAUGUUAAGAUGAAUGGAACUGAAAGAACAUAGUCCUCCUCUGUGGAAAAAAGUUCCUACAGAGAUGAAUGAAGCCCUGCAAUCUUCAUGGAACAUAAUUCAGUGAUGGAACUCCACAGAGGAACAGGACUGCCUGGAUACAAUGCCAUGUGGAACAGAGGAAUUUUUAUUCUUUUUACUCAACAGAAAAUAAAUAAAAGUAUAUUUUGCUAUUGUUUUACAAUGCA